AGCAAAUCGACCCCAGGACUUAUUCUUUAUAACCCAUCAAUUCCUCAUCCCGUGAUGGAGGUAACGGUGCUCACAGAGGAAUACGUGAUAUCAUUAAUACCGGAGAAGUUUGUGACCUUGUGAUUGGAGUGUUGCAACAGCACCGAGCGGUUUUUGGAUGAAAGUAAGAAUAAAGUUUACGAAAGGAAACGAAAACAAAACAACAAAUAAAAAGGUGUAAAUAAUUAAAACAACGAAUACCUUAUAUCUGACGACAGUAGUGGUAGUAGUAGUAGUAGAAGUAGCAGUAGUAGCAGAAGUAGCAGUAGUAGUAGUAGCAGAAGUAGUGGUAGAAGUAGUAGUAGCAGCAGUAGUAGUAGCAGUAGUAGUAUGAAUGGAUGGAUGAUUGAAUGGUAUAAUGUAUGAACUGGAUUGCUUUUAGAGUCUAACUGUACAAAUGGUGAACUCAUAAAGAUAUAUCAAGUAAAAUCAAUUUUAUCUCUUGUCAAACGAGUCAAACGGCAAAGUGAAAUCAUUCGAUAAAAUCUACAUUCUUUGAAGAAGGAAAAAAAAUUAUGCUUCUAAUAUCAAAAGAUUAGAGUGCGGUGAAACAACAGCAACAACAAUAACGACAACAGC